GAUUAUGGCUCAGGACGAACGCUGGCGGCGUGCCUAACACAUGCAAGUCGAGCGAUGAAACCCUUCGGGGUGGAUUAGCGGCGGACGGGUGAGUAACACGUGGGUAACCUGCCUCAUAGAGGGGGAUAGCCUCCCGAAAGGGAGAUUAAUACCGCAUAAUGUAUUUUUGUUCGCAUGAAUGAAAUAUCAAAGGAGUAAUCCGCUAUGAGAUGGACCCGCGGCGCAUUAGCUAGUUGGUGAGGUAAGGGCUCACCAAGGCGACGAUGCGUAGCCGACCUGAGAGGGUGAUCGGCCACAUUGGAACUGAGACACGGUCCAGACUCCUACGGGAGGCAGCAGUGGGGAAUAUUGCGCAAUGGGGGAAACCCUGACGCAGACCAACGCCGCGUGAAUGAUGAAGGCCUUAGGGUUGUAAAGUUCUGUCUUCUGGGACGAUAAUGACGGUACCAGAGGAGGAAGCCACGGCUAACUACGUGCCAGCAGCAGC
rnacentral:rRNA from 1 species